ACGCACGCUGGCGGCGUGCCUAAUACAUGCAAGUUGAGCGCUGAAGGUUGGUACUUGUACCAACUGGAUGAGCAGCGAACGGGUGAGUAACGCGUGGGGAAUCUGCCUUUGAGCGGGGGACAACAUUUGGAAACGAAUGCUAAUACCGCAUAAAAACUUUAAACACAAGUUUUAAGUUUGAAAGAUGCAAUUGCAUCACUCAAAGAUGAUCCCGCGUUGUAUUAGCUAGUUGGUGAGGUAAAGGCUCACAAAGGCGAUGAUACAUAGCCGACCUGAGAGGGUGAUCGGCCACAUUGGGACUGAGACACGGCCCAAACUCCUACGGGAGGCAGCAGUAGGGAAUCUUCGGCAAUGGACGAAAGUCUGACCGAGCAACGCCGCGUGAGUGAAGAAGGUUUUCGGAUCGUAAAACUCUGUUGGUAGAGAAGAACGUUGGUGAGAGUGGAAAGCUCAUCAAGUGACGGUAACUACCCAGAAAGGGACGGCUAACUACGUG
rnacentral:rRNA from 1 species